UGGGGAAUAUUGCGCAAUGGGCGAAAGCCUGACGCAGCAACGCCGCGUGAGUGAUGAAGGCCUUCGGGUCGUAAAGCUCUGUGGGUAAGGACGAAAAACAUUGGCUAAUAUCCAAUGGCUUGACGGUACUUCCUUAGCAAGCACCGGCUAACUCUGUGCCAGCAGCCGCGGUAAUACAGAGGGUGCAAACGUUGCUCGGAAUCAUUGGGCGUAAAGCGCACGUAGGCGGCCUGAUAAGUCGGUAGUGAAAGCCCUCGGCUUAACCGAGGAAGUGCUAUCGAAACUGCCAGGCUUGAGUACCGGAGAGGAUCGCGGAAUUCCCGGUGUAGAGGUGAAAUUCGUAGAUAUCGGGAGGAACACCAGUGGCGAAGGCGGCGAUCUGGACGGAUACUGACGCUGAGGUGCGAAAGCGUGGGGAGCAAACAGGAUUAGAUACCCUAGUAGUCCCUGAGCGGGCUGGCAAGGCGCAU
rnacentral:rRNA from 1 species